rnacentral:rRNA from 1 species
CGUUGAAAUACUGGUUCUCGUACGAUCACCGAAGUUAAGCAACGUCGAGCCAGGUCAGUACCUAGAUGGGUGACCGCUUGGGAAUACCAGAUGCUGUAAG